rnacentral:siRNA from 1 species
CACACUUGCCAAUUUUUCUGUA